GUGUGUGUGUGUGUGUGUGUGUGUGUGUGUGUGUGUGUGUGUGAGAGAGAGAGAAUGUGUGCACGCAGAUAUAAGAAGUUGGGGUUGAUGAUCCACAUGAUGGUGAUGGACCAGGACAGCUCUGGACCUCCUGACUGGCAGCUCCAUCCUCAACCUCUCUUCCUGCCCUUCACACAUGUGCAGGCAGACAGUUUUCUGAAAGAUGGUUGAUGUCAGUACCAACAUGUUGUGAUGGAGGCUUCCACCUGAGCUGAACACAGAAACUUGCACACAGUGAUGGAAGCAGUCGUUCCUGUUCAGCAUCAAUAUGCCAGUAAUGGGUUUGAUGAGCCACAGCAUGGGUAUGGGCAAUCAGCAUCAGGACCAGGGCAGCUCACAAGGAGAACCUCCUGCCCUGCCUCGUCAUCCUCACCCUCCCAUCUCCCUGCUCUUCACACAUGUGCAGGCACGCAGCCAGUUUUCAGAGGGAGGGCUGAUGACACCAAUAUGGUCCAGCUGACACCAGCA